GGGAAGGAAGGCGCUGCCAGGAAAGGGGAUCGCGAAGGGGAGCGGGAGCAGGAGCGAACUAGCGCGAGCGUCUGGGGCACUUUAGCCGCCCCUUUCCAGCCGCCCCCUCACGCGCGAGCUCCCCCGCCCCCCGGGCGGCUGCAGCGCUUCCCUCACCCCCACUCCCUGAGGUUUUUCUUCCCCCAGUCCCUCAGCUGCUGCUGCUGCUCAGGAGGUCAGAUCUGCCACUGAUGGUAAUACCAGCACCACUCCGCCCACCUCUGCCAAGAAGAGAAAGUUAAACAGCAGCAGCAGUAGCAGCAGUAACAGUAGUAACGAGAGAGAAGACUUUGAUUCCACCUCUUCCUCCUCUUCCACUCCUCCUUUACAACCCAGGGAUUCGGCAUCCCCUUCAACCUCGUCCUUCUGCCUGGGGGUUUCAGUGGCUGCUUCCAGCCACGUACCGAUACAGAAGAAGCUGCGUUUUGAAGACACCCUGGAGUUUGUAGGGUUUGAUGCGAAGAUGGCUGAGGAAUCCUCCUCCUCCUCCUCCUCAUCUUCACCAACUGCUGCAACAUCUCAGCAGCAGCAACUUAAAAAUAAGAGUAUAUUAAUCUCUUCUGUGGCUUCGGUGCAUCAUGCAAACGGCCUAGCCAAAUCUUCUACCACCGUCUCUAGCUUUGCUAACAGCAAACCUGGCUCUGCUAAGAAGUUAGUGAUCAAGAACUUUAAAGAUAAGCCUAAAUUACCAGAAAACUACACAGAUGAAACCUGGCAAAAACUGAAAGAAGCAGUGGAAGCUAUUCAGAAUAGUACUUCAAUUAAGUACAAUUUAGAAGAACUCUACCAGGUAUGUA
rnacentral:lncRNA from 1 species